CAGUCCGCGGUAAUACAGAGGGUGCGAGCGUUAAUCGGAUUCACUGGGCGUAAAGCGUGCGUAGGCGGCUUUUUAAGUCGGAUGUGAAAUCCCUGAGCUUAACUUAGGAAUUGCAUUCGAUACUGGGAAGCUAGAGUAUGGGAGAGGAUGGUAGAAUUCCAGGUGUAGCGGUGAAAUGCGUAGAGAUCUGGAGGAAUACCGAUGGCGAAGGCAGCCAUCUGGCCUAAUACUGACGCUGAGGUACGAAAGCAUGGGGAGCAAACAGGAUUAGAUACCCGCGUAGUCCCUGUCUCUUAUACAC
rnacentral:rRNA from 1 species